rnacentral:rRNA from 1 species
GUCCACACUAUAAACGAUGGACACUAGAUAUGGGGAGUAUCGACCCUCUCCGUGUCGAAGCUAACGCGUUAAGUGUCCCGCCUGGGGAGUACGGUCGCAAGACUAAAACUCAAAGGAAUUGACGGGGCCCGCACAAGCAGCGGAGCGUGUGGUUUAAUUCGAUGCAAAACGAAGAACCUUACCAAGGCUUGACAUGCUAGAAGUAGUGCACCGAAAGGGAAUCCAACUGUUAAGUCAGUAGCUAGCACAGGUGCUACAUGGCUGUCGU